rnacentral:rRNA from 1 species
UACGGAGGGUGCAAGCGUUAUCCGGAUUCACUGGGUUUAAAGGGUGCGUAGGUGGGCAGGUAAGUCAGUGGUGAAAUCUCCGGGCUUAACCCGGAAACUGCCGUUGAUACUAUUUGUCUUGAAUAUAGUGGAGGUGAGCGGAAUAUGUCAUGUAGCGGUGAAAUGCGUAGAUAUCUGGAGGAACACCGGUGGCGAAGGCGGCGUCCUGGACCAACACUGACACUGAGGAGCGAAAGCCAGGGGAGCAAACGGG